GCCUGGGUGGCUCAGGCGUUAAGCGUCUGACUCUCGAUCUCACAGUUGGUGGGUUCAAGCCCCGCCUCAGGCU
rnacentral:tRNA from 1 species